rnacentral:rRNA from 1 species
UACGGAGGAUGCGAGCGUUAUCCGGAUUUAUUGGGUUUAAAGGGUGCGCAGGCGGCGUGUCUAGUCAGCGGUAAAAUGUCGGGGCUCAACCCCGGCCGGCCGUUGAAACUGGCGUGCUCGAGUUGGAGAGAAGUAUGCGGAAUUCGUGGUGUAGCGGUGAAAUGCAUAGAUAUCACGAAGAACCCCGAUUGCGAAGGCAGCAUACCGGCUCCACACUGACGCUGAGGCACGAAAGCGUGGGUAUCGAACAGG